GACGAACGCUGGCGGCGUGCUUAACACAUGCAAGUCGAACGGAAAGGCACUGAUUUUGUGGGGUGACCGAGUGGCGAACGGGUGAGUAACACGUGAGUAACCUGAUCUUGACUUUGGGGUAACUUCAGGAAACUGGGGUUAAUACAGGAUAGGAGCUGCUGUUGCAUGGUGGGGGUUGGAACGUCUCGGCGGUGGGGGGUGGAUUAGCGGCUUACCAGCUCGUUGGUGGGGUGGUGGCUUACCAAGGAUUUGAAGGGUAGCCGGCCAGAGUGGGUGACAGGCCGCACUGGGACUUAGAUACGGCCCAGACUCCUACGGUAGGCAACAGGGGGGAAUAUUGCACAAGGGGCGGAAGCCGGAUGCAGCAGCGCCGCGGGCGGGAAGACCGCCUUGGGGGUAUAGACCGCUUUCGCCUGAGACGAAGCGUGAGUGACGGUAAUGGAUAAAGAAGCACCGGCUAACUACGUG
rnacentral:rRNA from 1 species